GCGUGUACGGUUGUGCGGUGGAACGAGAAUCUCUCUAGGGACCUUUGAUAAUCAGAGGUAUUAGCUGGAGGAUUUUAGAAUCCGUGUGUAAAGGAUGGCUUGUGGGGAAGCGGCGUAGUAUUAUCGAAGCGGAUAAUGAGCUCUGAAGAAUAUGUGGAAAGAGAGGAAGAAUCCGUGACCAGUCUUGGGUUUCAAGCAGUAUUCGAGAUUGAGGAGUAACGGAUCAAUUCCGGCAAUUCAUAUUUCCGCUCGUGAUGAAGCGAUGGGAUGGAAAAAAGAAGAUUUGUCUUCGUCGAUGAUAUUUGAUUUCCACGUUUCACAAAGAAUAUCCUUUUCAAAAACAUUUCAACAAUGAUUCCUCGGAAAUGUUAAUUUAUACAUCAUCGAUGAAACGUUCCUUCACCAAUCAAUUCAAUACUUUUUUCCCAAACGUCGUUAAAGUGAUUAAAUGAAAUCAAAGAUGAAUAAAACGCAGACAAAAGAACUAUAAAUUGAAGUUCAAAAUUGUGGACAUAAAUCGGUGAAUUACUUCAAAUGAUUACUACCAUCGCUUAUUACUACCAUCGCAUUAUAGCUGAUGUAAUUCAUGGACUAUGUUUCAUUCGCAACAACAACAACAACAACAACAACAACAACACGAGUUAGAGGCCUUCGCAUGCUCUCUUACCAGCAUGUUUAAAAUCUUUUAUUACCAUUGGAUGAUCGGUUCUCGGCCGAGCUUAGAUGCUGCCCACUGCUAAUUUGUUUAAAUUUACAUCUUUAUCAUCACGAACAUAUAAUAAACCGAAGAAAUAUUGAACUUAAUUAUUAAAGAUUGUUAAAGAAGAAUCGAGAAAGAACAUUUAUAAAGGAAAUGCACAGUGAUCUAAAUCAAUCGAAGCCGGCUAAUCCUUAUUUUCUAAAUCUGUGAAACGGCGGAGAAUUCCAUUGAAAUCUCUUCGACCAUCAUCGAUCAAGUGUAAUUGGUGUAAAAAACGAAGCGGAGAACGUUGGAGGAAGCAAGGGAUCGAUUAGUCUGUGAUUGAGUUACAGGAAGGCAGUCGUUUAUUGGCAUAAUCGAUACCUUACUGGGUCUAAUAAAUACAUCCUUGGGAAACCUCGA